CAUACACAAUCCCUCAACUCUACUGUAAUCUCAUCCUCAAACAGACCACACACAGACUAUUCAUGGACAGCCUAAAUGUCACAUGAAGAACACAAACCAUGGUUGGUCUCUUGACCAACCAAACAGUCCCUUCCUGUCUAAGUGGGCUGUUCUUGGUCAGGAUAGGCUGAGAAGUGUACCAGAUUACUUGCCGAUCAUCAAAGAGUUGGCCCUGGUUGACUUGCUUUGUAAUGAGAGAAUUCCCAGUUCUGAUCUGCAUAGUGCAUCAUCUGUUUCUCUCUUCCUCCUCUCUCACUCCCACCAUCAGCAGAGCCACUGGUCUGUUAAACACUCCACCAUUUGCAUCCCAUUUCACAGCAGCUGGCGCUCUUCCAAGCAGUACUUAAAUAAUCUUCUACAUUCUCACUGACUUUUCUCACACACAUACAUACACACACACACACACACUCCUCUAUCUUGUUCCUGCACUCUUUCAGGCAAUGCUAUAAGUCUCCAUCUUGAAUUGUCCUUCCCAUCUAAAUUCAUUCCUGUCCUUCAAACAAGAGCAGUCUGCAUGUGAUUUCUGUGCGUGAUUACAGCCUACUGUACAUUAUCAGUUGUUAUACAUGUGCAGAGACAACUAGACAUUUACAUUUCUGAAUAAAAUGUGAAAAAAGUGUGUCUGUGCAAAACGUACCACAAUGCUAAGGCGUUGCUAUAAGGUUGCAAAAUAAGUUGUUCUGAGUGGUUGUUAGCAUGUUUCCCCUUACAAAAAUCGAGAGUUCAUGGCAAAUUUGCCGCAAACUUGCCGCAAAUUCACACCUGAUCAUUUUCACAUGCCAAUGAGCAUUGCUGCAAACUUGCGUUAAAUUGUCGAUUGUUGCCAAAGGUUCACCACUGGUGAAGAGCUGCAAACUUCUGGCAAACAUUUGCAGCGAAUUACAAGCUCAUUUGCAUGUGAAAAUAAUGAGUGGCAAAUUUUCGGCAAGUUUGUGGCUAGUUUACCAGAACUCUUGAGUUUUUGUCAGGGGCUAGAUGAUUACUAAGGUGCUCUCAGUGGUUGCUAGCGGGUUGUUAUAGCGUGUUCUGAGAUAAAGGGGUUGUUUGAGUGGUUGUUUGUUAGCGUGUUGCUUUAUGGAUGCUAAGAAGUGGUUGUUAGCAUGUUGCUAUAUGGUAAGGUGUUCUGAGUGGUGUUAGCUUGUUGCUAUACAUUGCUAAGUUGUUCUGAGUGUCCUUUUAGUGUGUUUCUAUGUGGAUGCUAAGAGGUGGUUCUUAGCAUGUUGUUAUAUGGUUGAUAAGGUGUUCUGAGUGUUUUUUGCUUGUCACUAUACUGAUGCUAAGGUGUUCUUAGUGGUUUUUAGUGUGUUUCUAUGUGGAUGUUAAGGAGAGGUUUUUAGCCUGUUGCUGUACGGUUGCCAAGGUGUUCUGAGUGGUUAUUAGCCUGUUGCUAAGUGGUUGUUAGCGUGUGUUUCUGAGAUAAGGUGUUCUGAGUGGUUGUUUGUUAGUGUGUUGCUGUGCGGAUGCUAAGCAGUGAUUUUAGCAUUAUUUCUAAUAAUGGUCUUUAGCUUGUUGCUAUUUGGUUGUUAAGGUAUUCUGAGUGUUUUUAGUGUGUUUCUAUGUGGAUGCUAAGAGGUGGUUCUUAGCAUGUUGCUAUAUGGUUGCUAAGGUGUUCUGAGUGGUGUUAGCUUGUUGCUAUACAUUGCUAAGGUGUUCUGAGUGUCAUUUUAGUGUGUUUCUAUGUGGAUGCUAAGAGGUGGUUCUUAGCAUGUUGCUAUAUGGUUGCUAAGGUGUUCUGAGUGGUGUUAGCUUGUUGCUAUACAUUGCUAAGGUGUUCUGAGUGUCAUUUUAGUGUGUUUCUAUGUGGAUGCUAAGAGGUGGUUCUUAGCAUGUUGCUAUAUGGUUGCUAAGGUGUUCUGAGUGGUGUUAGCUUGUUGCUAUACAUUGCUAAGGUGUUCUGAGUGUCCUUUUAGUGUGUUUCUAUGUGGAUGCUAAGAGGUGGUUCUUAGCAUGUUGUUAUAUGGUUGAUAAGGUGUUCUGAGUGUUUUUUGCUUGUCGCUAUACUGAUGCUAAGGUGUUCUUAGUGGUUUUUAGUGUGUUUCUAUGUGGAUGUUAAGGAGAGGUUUUUAGCAUGUUGCUGUACGGUUGCCAAGGUGUUCUGAGUGGUUAUUAGCCUGUUGCUAAGUGGUUGUUUGCGUGUGUUUCUGAGAUAAGGUGUUCUGAGUGGUUGUUUGUUAGCGUGUUGCUGUGCGGAUGCUAAGCAGUGGUUUUAGCUUUUUCUAUAUUGUUGUUAAGGUUUUCUGAGUGGUCUUUAGCUUGUUGCUAUUUGGUUGUUAAGGUAUUCUGAGUGUUUUUAGUGUGUUUCUAUGUGGAUGCUAAAAAGUGCUUCUUGGAAUGUUGCUAUAUGGUUGCUUAGGUGUUCUGAGUAGUGUUUAGCUUGUUGCUAUACGGUUGCCAAGGUUUUCUGAGUGGUUGUUAGCUUGUUGCUAUUUGGUUGUUAAGGUAUUCUGAGUGUUUUUAGUGUGUUUCUAUGUGGAUGCUAAAACGUGCUUCUUGGCAUGUUGCUAUAUGGUUGCUUUGGUGUUCUGAGUAGUGUUUAGCUUGUUGCUAUACGGUUGCCAAGGUUUUCUGAGUGGUUGUUAGCUUGUUGCUUUACAGAUGCCAAGGAGUGGCAGAGAUCGGAUCAAAGUUAGCCACGCAAAAUGGAAAAUGCUGUCUAUCAGGAACUCACUGAUCCUUUUGAAUACAAAAGAGGCUUUUCAUCAGCUUGUCAUGUUUUGGUAUCUUUUUCUCUUCUAAUAUGUUCUGAUCCUGAGGCCGUGUCUGGAAGGAAGCUGGACGCCUUGUGACUGACUGUGAUGGAUCCUCACUUGUUUCUCCCUGCCUUGUCUGGUUACUCUCCCACCAGAUGGAACAACUGUUCACUUGCCCCCCCACUUUCCUACUUGUUCUGGCAUUGUGAUGACAUUUUAGGUUGUGCAGACAUUGCCAGUUAUCUUUGUUUAACCGUCCAUCCACUUAACCCUGUUAAUAUUUUGACAGGAUGUACCAUGGACUUGGCAUUGAGAUUCAACAUCAGAUCAGCUUCACAUUUGAUAUUUUGUCAAUUAUUUUUACAUAACCUUUCUGUUUUUUUUAUAAAUGAUUCCAAGUUCAGUCAUGAAACUCUACAUAUCACAAGCUGAUAGGUCCUUUGACAUGUUAUGUGGUAGCCAAUCGACUAGCAUACUCUUUCUUUGUCUAACAUUUAAAUAGCCUCAGUCGUUUGCAAGUACAGUAAGUAGGGUUUACUGCAGCACACUACAAGGGUUUUCUCUUUGAAACCCUCCUCCUUCCCAGCACCACAUGACGAGAUCUGAUUCAAAGGGAUUGCAUGUAUGUCUAAUUGUGUCAAAUUUAAACCUGGAAACAAAGUUUUUGGAUUCUGAAAUAUUGAAACAAAGAAAAUGUAUGACGCAAAAUGAAUAAGAAAAGUUUAUGCAGUUAAUUUGGUCAAUGUCACAAAUUUUCUUACAUUUCAUUAGUGACCUAGAAAUCCUGUGAUGUUCCCUUCAUGUUCUGUCAAAAUGUUUGUUUUAAUUUAAAAAAAAAAAAAAACAACCAAAAACUUUAUUUUCAGUUUGAAAUAACAUUUGGACUCAGGACUUCACUGUAUAUAUUUUAAUAUCAGUCAACUAAGUUCAAUUGAUGCAGGCUGAAAAAGCGCCCCCACUCCCUGGCUUCGUCGCCCAUGUCUACCAGCAUUCCUGUUCCUGGAUCUUCUUCAAAGUUUCCGACAGGCUGUUCUCUCUCUCUCUAUCCGUCUUUUUCUUUACCUAUCUGGUGAAGCUUUCUCUGCAGGGACUGAAUGUCCAGUAUUGAUCAAGCCCAACAAACCUCAACACAAUAUCAACUAAUCAAACUCUGUUCAUAAAGCUCCUGAGUGGGACUAUACUGCUCUGUUCCUGCUCUUAUUUAUCACUGUACAAUCUAAUUCUCUCAUUCUCUCUCUCUGUUCAUCUCAUCCCAU